rnacentral:rRNA from 1 species
GCAGUGAGGAAGGUGGGUAUGUUAAUAGCAUACUCAUUUGACGUUAGCUGCAGAAGAAGCACCGGCUAACUCCGUGCCAGCAGCCGCGGUAAUACGGAGGGUGCGAGCGUUAAUCGGAAUUACGUGGGACGUAAAGCGCAUGCAGGUGGUUUGUUAAGUCAGAUGUGAAAGCCCGGGGCUCAACCUCGGAAUUGCAUUUGAAACUGGACAAACUAGAGUACUGUAGAGGGGGUAGAAUUUCAGGUGUAGCGGUGAAAUGCGUAGAGAUCUGAAGGAAUACCGGUGGCGAAGGCGGCCCCCCUGGACAGAUACUGACACUCAGAUGCGAAAGCGUGGGGAGCAAACAGGAUUAGAUACCCUGGUAG